GGAGAGGUGGCAGAGUGGUCGAAUGUACCUGACUCGAAAUCAGGCGUACACAGCGUGUACCGCGGGUUCGAAUCCCGCCCUCUCCGCCA
rnacentral:tRNA from 1 species